GCCCGAUAGCUCAGCUGGUUAGAGCGUCGUACUAAUAUGUCCAGCGUCGUACUAAUAUGUCCUCAACGGUCAUGUCAAGUAAAUGCGAAGGUCAACAGUUCAAUCCUGUUAUUGGGCA